rnacentral:rRNA from 1 species
AUUGAACGCUGGCGGCAUGCCUUACACAUGCAAGUCGAACGGUAGAGGGGCAACCCUCGAGAGUGGCGAACGGGUGAGUAAUGCAUCGGAACGUGCCCAGUAGUGGGGGAUAGCCCGGCGAAAGCCGGAUUAAUACCGCAUACGACCUACGGGUGAAAGGGGGGGAUCGCAAGACCUCUCGCUAUUGGAGCGGCCGAUGUCAGAUUAGGUAGUUGGUGGGGUAAAAGCCUACCAAGCCGACGAUCUGUAGCCGGUCUGAGAGGACCACCCGCCACAGUGGGACUGAGACACGGCCCAGAGUCCUGAGGGAGGCAGCAGUGGGGAAUUUUGGACAAUGGACGAAAGUCUGAUCCAGCCAUGCCGCGUGCAGGAAGAAGGCCUUCGGGUUGUAAACUGCUUUUGUCAGGGAAGAAAUCCCCUGGGUUAAUACCUCGGGGGGAUGACGGUACCUGAAGAAUAAGCACCGGCUAACUACGUGCCAGCCGCCGCAGUAA